AACUGAUUAAUGGUGCUUGCACCUGAUUGACGAUGGAUCACCAGUGAGUGGCGGACGGGUGAGUAACACGUAGGUAACCUGCCCCGGAGCGGGGGAUAACAUUUGGAAACAGAUGCUAAUACCGCAUAACAACAAAAGCCACAUGGCUUUGUUUGAAAGAUGGCUUCGGCUAUCACUCUGGGAUGGACCUGCGGUGCAUUAGCUAGUUGGUAAGGUAACGGCUUACCAAGGCGAUGAUGCAUAGCCGAGUUGAGAGACUGAUCGGCCACAAUGGAACUGAGACACGGUCCAUACUCCUACGGGAGGCAGCAGUAGGGAAUCUUCCGCAAUGGGCGCAAGCCUGACGGAGCAACGCCGCGUGAGUGAAGAAGGCCUUCGGGUCGUAAAGCUCUGUUGUCGGGGACGAAUGUAGUUACCAUCAACAACCGUAACUAAUGACGGUACCUGACGAGGAAGCCACGGCUAACUACGUG
rnacentral:rRNA from 1 species